UCUCGGGGGGCAGCAGUGGGGAAUAUUGGACAAUGGGCGAAAGCCUGAUCCAGCCAUGCCGCGUGUGUGAAGAAGGCCUUCGGGUUGUAAAGCACUUUCAGUGGGGAAGAAAGCCUUGGGGCUAAUACCCUCGAGGAAGGACAUCACCCACAGAAGAAGCACCGGCUAACUCCGUGCCAGCAGCCGCGGUAAUACGGAGGGUGCGAGCGUUAAUCGGAAUUACUGGGCGUAAAGCGCGCGUAGGCGGUCUGAUAAGCCGGUUGUGAAAGCCCCGGGCUCAACCUGGGAACGGCAUCCGGAACUGUCAGGCUAGAGUGCAGGAGAGGAAGGUAGAAUUCCCGGUGUAGCGGUGAAAUGCGUAGAGAUCGGGAGGAAUACCAGUGGCGAAGGCGGCCUUCUGGACUGACACUGACGCUGAGGUGCGAAAGCGUGGGUAGCAAACAGGAUUAGAUACCCCUGUAGUC
rnacentral:rRNA from 1 species